ACCGGUGUGGCAUAGUGGUUUGAGCAUUAGGCUAUGACUCUAGAGAUCAGGGUUCAAUUCCUCUCUCCAUCG